UCUGCAAUGAUCUGGUUGUAUUGAAAAAGAAUUUGCAGGAGACCUCUAGGGGGUUUUAUCAAGAAACAUGCAUCUGGCAACAUUGUGAACAGAGAUCUGUGUUCCAUGUAUCUGGUGCUGGCAGAGGCCAAAAGAGCACACAGAAUGGCCUGGGACAAAAGCUCCAAAUGUUUUUGAGAUAUUUUGUGGAUGCUGAGGAAUAGACUAGAGUCCUCUGCAAGAGUAACAGUUGCUCUCAACAGCUGUGUCAUCUCUCCGGUCCCUGUUAAUUUGGAGAUCUAGUACUGAAGAAAACAAAUAAUUAUAGUUUCCAAUAAUUGGAAAAUGAGCUGGAGAAAGGAGGGUUCUUCUUCAUAAAGAGGGAACAUUCACAAAGAGAAAUAAAUCUGUUUCAUCAGGAUCUACUCUCAUAUCCUCAUUAACAUACCAAUUUUGAAGAGAUUCAAACCAAGACAAAUCUUGUCA